rnacentral:piRNA from 1 species
UGAACUUAUAUAAAAUAUAAA